AUCACUUGGGUAUCUGACUGAUCUCUGAAGUUUCUGAACACCGAAUUUUUUAAUCCUGUCACUUAGUUCUUCGUAUUUUUAUCAAUUCGUGGUUAUUGAGUUGAUCCUUGGCCUGUAUUUUUCGUUAUUAUUCUAUUGUCCUCUGGCUUUCUUCGUUAUUUGCCCAAUAAAAUUGCCCCGUCGUUUCCUGGUUGCAGCCUCUCCUUGUGUCAGUGUCAGUAGAAAUUUUUCCUCGAAUGGAGAGAACUACUGAUGAAGAAGCACCUGCUAGCUGUCUUCCUUGCAGAUUGAUCAGUGGCUCUGUGCUCAUAGGAUGCGGAUUUUAUAUCGGUUAUCAUGCAUCCAAGUUGAAGAAAGGAAAGAACGCUGCCCUGCUGAUUGCCACAGGAUCUGGUGUCAUUGGAGUUUUAAGAUUACUAAAUUUGCUGCCCCGACUGAAUUGAUGCUCUGAAGUAUUUGGCUUACUGGAUUCUGCACCAAGGUAUGAUUCUAUGCAGUAUUCUUCAAGGCCGCUUUUGCAGUUCAUUAGCAGGUAUCUGCUGCAGUGAUAAAGUGAUCAAGUUUAAAGCUAGGACUAACCACAUUUAACAUGAACCAAUCUGGAAAAGAAAAUGGAAGCUGUAUCAUUUGAAAAAUGAAAUGAAAUCAAUCCACUGACUAUGUGCUGAACAGGGCAGAGAAAUUUGCGAAUUGAGGUAUACAGUAAAAUUCUCAGUCAUUAUUGGGUCACAAUAAACCUGCAAAGUUUAGUUGUUGUUUUAAUAAAAAGGCCUCCUUUAAUCAUAAUAGACGGAUCAGACAAGAAAGCAUUUUAGUCAAAAGAGCAACUAAGUGAUUGAUUUUCUCAAAAUCGAGGUAUUAAUGAAACUGAAGAUUUACUGGAAGUAAUGCAGUUCAAUAUUGGAUAGUCUAAAGGGUAUUAUCAAACGCUACACUAAUCAAAAGUACAAAAUUUUUGUGGAAUAUAUUUCCCUUAGUAUUUAUGAAAAAAGGCAAGACUUACUAACGUUUUGCUGAAGAGAAUAAAAUCACUAAAAGAUAUUGUUUACAUUUGAAGUCUUCGAUUAAUAGAGAAGAUCCACACACUGUAAUACAUUUUGUUAAGCAAAGGACCUAUGCAGCUCCUAUUUGUAUGAAGUCAUUUGAAGCACUUCGGGGAAGAAAGAAAAAAAGAAAAGAACGACUUUAUGAAUUAUGUAAAAACUAUAGAGGUGAUUUGCUUUUUCUACACACGCUGUGCUAAAACAAAUGGCAGUUGGUCUGGUUUGAGAAAACUAUGUCUUCUAUUGAGGUACAGUUUAUAUUAAGUUGUAGUCCAUACCCUUUGCCUUACAAUGAGACGUCUUAAGAAUAUUUUGUUGCAAAUUUACCAAGUUCCAUUAAUCUUAUGAAAAUACACGAAGCAAAAGUGGAAGAUUUUGGACUAGUUUUUGUUUGUCAAACGCAUGUGAGAUCCCAUGUUGCUUGGAGAAUAGUCAUCGUGAAAAUAGUAUUGAUGCAAGUUGGGAGGCAUUCAUAAAUUAUGUAACGCAAUAUUUUUGGAAUUUUUGACCCCCCUACCUUCCCCUUUGUAACAUUUUUUAACGCCGGACACCCUCCAGCUCUCAUGAGAUCCUACCAAUUGUGGAAAAUCAUUGAAUAUAUAGCUGGAUGAAAUUUGAAGUGUUUUUGAUGAUAGUGUGACAAAGAACGUCAAAGAAAUCACGAAGAUACAUGUCUAAAGAUUUUUCUGUAUUUCAGGAUUCAAAGUCUUUAACCCCUCACUGUGCUGUUACCUUCACAAAAAUGAAGAAAACUCCGGCACCCUGGACAAUAGCAUAACUUGAGGGCACAUCGGCUGGUGAAUCAAUUGGUUGACGCCAACAGGUCAACUCAAACUUGUAAUUUUCUGAUUUUUUGCCCUACAUGCUAUGAAAACGAAAUGAAAUUCCAGUGAUUAGAUUUUUUCCAGUAUCAGUUAAUGAUCAGAUUUCUGACUUUUCAUGAGACAUUUCUCCCGUAGAAGUUCAGGAAUCUUAUAGAUCAAAACGAUUCAUCCUCUAGUCCAUUGAUCUCCUUUUUUCUCUAUGUAUAAGAGCUUCAUAAGCUGACAUUAGUCAGCUUAUGAAGGUUCUGUGCUUUUGGGAUCUUCGAGAAAUAUCAAAUCGAUUGACGAGUUACUCUGGUCUGAGUUCCACAUCUGCUGAUAAAGGAGAUCAUGAAAGUUUUUUCCCCUCUCAUUUUAGUGAAGUCUCUGUAACUCCAUGAAUCAUCGACCAAAUAAGCUAAGGGUAUGGACUACAAUGUCCCUGAGACCGCAUCUCAAUAGCUAAGAUUGCUGUCUCAAACCAGGUCAACUGUUCUGGGACAGCCUACGUAUUUAGAAAGAGGAUUAUAUUCCAUAUGAUUGAAUUAUUGAAUACUUAUGCUCAGGUUCGUGUGUCUGAUAUCUUAUAGUAUUGCAUUCAAACGUACUUUUUCUUCAACAUUUUUAGGUCUGGUCUUGAAAUAUUGGGUUACCUAAGUGUAACUUCAUACCAAGAAAUACAACAAACUGCUUCACAAAACUUUAAAUGUCCUCUGAAGUAAGCAGUUAAAACUGGAUAUUCGUCAGUUGUAACCUUUUUUAUUUUGUACUGAAAGGUCUAAAGUAAUUUUAGUACUUAAUUCAAGGAUUAAAUUACUAUAGCUUAUUGAAAAAUAACAACUAAUGAGCAAAUCGAAAGUCUAUAACUAAAUAAAGACAAUUUGUUAAAAUAAACAAAAUAACAUGAUAUUGAGAAAUAAAAUUACUUAUUCAUAGAGAAUGACUAACAGCAUGCCUGAGUUCAGAGCUUCAUCUUUGAACUUUGACCCAGCACAUAGGCACAAAUGAAUUACUGGUAUCAAAUGUUUCAUUUUUGAUCCCAGAUUAAUACAGUAACCAAAACAAUAUUUUAUUUACAUUAUUCUAAAGUAGAAUUUAAAAUAUCACUUUACACUCCAACACAGCACCUGCAAAAAGAACAGAAAAGAAUCUAAUAUUAUCUAACUUUUUAUGGAUCCUCAGCAGACAAACAGUUAAAAUUUUAAAAUUCUGCAGAUUCUAUGAGUUCCUUUACAGUUGGAUAAAGAAGUGGAAAAUUAAACUGUCUUAAUUUUUUAUACGUCCUUCUAGUUUUUUCAUUAGCACAAUAAGCAAUGGUUAAACAUUAUUCUAUCGUAUUUGCUGAUUCAAUGACAGUGUAAAUAAUCCAGUACGUAGUAUGUACUUAGAGGAAUCAAUGAGUAGACUAUGUUUAUUGACUUACAGAAAAGUGUGUCCAGCCUAACAGACCUAUGCGUGGAUCUCUCAAAGUAACCGUUCACUACUCUGUAGCAUGCAUUUUCUAACUAGAUCUCUCCGACGUGCACUAUGUUGACUGAUUUUGUCCCUCUCAGUGCUGUUUACACAAUUCGAUCCUGAUCACUCGUUGUUCCACCUGAAUGUUAAUUUCACAUUUUUGUUUGUGUUCAAUUUUUUUGGUAACUCUUUCACUACCUUUCCUUGGCUUUUUUGAUCAUAGUCUUUAACAUGCAUCAUGUGAUACAUCUUUAUCUUUAUAUAGUGCUCUUUCUUGUGUUUUUGUGAAUUUUUCUUGCUGAAGAUGGCUUUUAGCCAAAAUGCAUCUGGGAAAAUAUACUGUGAAUUCUUCAUAAUA